rnacentral:rRNA from 1 species
UACAGAGGUCUCAAGCGUUGUUCGGAUUCAUUGGGCGUAAAAGGGCGCGUAGGCGGCGGGGUAAGUCUGGUGUGAAAUCUCGGAGCUCAACUCCGAAAUUGCACUGGAUACUGCUCUGCUAGAGGGCUGGAGAGGAGAUCGGAAUUCACGGUGUAGCAGUGAAAUGCGUAGAUAUCGUGAGGAACACCAGUGGCGAAGGCGACUUACUGGACACAUAUUGACG